rnacentral:tRNA from 1 species
UUAAUUAAAACCAAAGCUAAGCGGUAUACCACUGUUAAUGGUACAAAUGAGUAAAUACACUCUAAUUAAA